rnacentral:misc_RNA from 1 species
CAACCCUCGAGCCCCUCCGGCUUGGUGUUGGGGUUCAACUGCGGCGUCCCGCCGCAGGCCCCGAAAUACAGUGGCGGGCCCGACGAGACCCCGAGCGCAGUACUUGCUUCUCGCUUAGGGCGUCGCGACGGGCGACCGGCCGUAAAACCCCGCGGGCGGCCUCGGCCCCCGUGAUACGUACCAA